AUCGGGGGAGAUGUUUGUCUGACCGUGUGGUCAGGACAAAGACAAAGGAAAAGAAGCAGGAACUUUGAGAUGCCUGUUUGGGUGUAGCUCUGUUGAAAGCAUAUUUGUUAAUGAGUCUAUGUGAAUGUGAUUUGUGCUGCAAACGGUCUGGAUUAGUGCAGAGAUUGUUUAGUUGUGUGCAAGAAUCUGUUUGUGAACAGUAUUAGCAAACUAAACGCUUAGCCUUGGCGAAGCCAACUAAUUAAUGACCUAAAUGCAAACAAUCACAACAAUACCUCAAUGAUAGCAUUAAAUCACAUACAACAAGUUAAACAGUCUUGCUUAGCCUGUAAAGCUGUGAUAAAGCAAUACCCAGUUGUUACUUUAUCGAUCCUUGAGUGGAUGGGAGAAAGAGUCACUUGGUGGUGUACUGCUUUGUUAGCCGGCACAAGCAGGCUGGGAAGAGCUGUGGUUCCAGCUGCAGUCUAUGCUGUGUCCUUGUUCCAAAGGUUCUGAUCAGUCGGAAGCCAGUUGCUCGGGGUCCUUGCAGAUUUCGACGCUGGGUGCUAACUCACUUCGUUUCUUGUUGCUGGAAAGCUAGUUGCAAACGUUGUGCUUGCAAGUCUAACCUCUCUGGUUCAGGUUUGCCUCAGCCUUGAGCAUGGGCAAGUCGUGGUCCAGGAAAAAGAGAGUCUGUUAGCAAUUAGCCCCACCUUUGAUGGUUCAGGGCAAGGAGCAAUGGCCUGAGCAUCUGGGCUGUUCCAGACCCAGCAGGAAAGAGGUGUGGGCUGCUCCCCAGUUCCAGAGUGAGAGCAGGACUGUUUGAAAGGAGCAGAACUUAGCUUAGAGUUUGGUGACAUCACAGAGGGGCAUGUCACUGUAACAGUACUGCCCAAUCAAGCUUGAUGAGUGGUGUCUCACUGAGGUGUGAGAUGACCUCCUGUGGAGAUGAGUGUCAAAGAGCUCUCUUUGUUCGAAGACAGAGAGCAUGCAGAGACGGAAAAGCCUGUCCAGUUUAGAUUCUAACAAAUGACAAAUCAUCUGUGGUCCUGUGAAUCCCAACACUAUCAUCACAAGAUGGCAGUAUGACUCUGUGUUAAAUGAGGGAUUAAACAUUUUAAAUUAUAACUCACUCAUACGAUGACCUACAAGAGUGGAAAAAAAAUAUUCAACUAAAAAACAAGGAUUAUGCACAGUUACAAUUUUAGAACAUGGAUAAAAUGUAUAGUUUACUUUCAGGAGACAUUUCAGGUUGGUUAACAAGAGAAACUCCACUCAGGAAUUCAUCCUGAAUGUACGACUCCCACAUCUGAUGGUCUUAUCUUAUUUUCACCAGGGUGAGAGUAAAACAUUUGAUCUUGGCACAUGGGGGUUGCGGCUCUGGUCAGCCAUGUUAAAGGGAAAAAGCAUCAAGACUACCAAAACCCACUCAACAGAAUGCCAGCAUCAGCACAUAUUUCAAAGCUGUCAUAGCAAGGCCAGAUAUUGCUCCAGCUUUGCGUCUACUGUAUGUGUAGACACAAAGGGAUUCCAUAUCAUAUUCCACACUACGUUUUUGUUAGAAUGCCUGUCUUAGGGCAAAGCACACUGGAGCAAGAGUGUCAUGAUAGUGUGCUAUGAUUGUCUAACAUUACUUAUAUUAAACAGGGUUCCUGCAGGUCCUUAAAAAGUCUUAAAAUGUCUGAAAUUAAAAUCCGGGAAAUUAAGGUCUUAAAUUGUCUUGAAUUUACCGUUAAUUUGCUGUAGGUAUUAAAUUUUCAGACAGUGCGUUUAAGGUUGAUGGGAAAGCACAGUGGCCCACCAUAAAACAUCUAAUAGUAUGUAUUUUUUUAUUAACUUAGUACAAAGACAGUGUUGUCAAUGAGAGACUCCGCUAUGAACAUCAGUUUAACGGUAUGUCAGCUACAGACGUUGACGUAAGACUGUGUGUCGCCAUUUUGUUGUUGUCAAGGUGAGCGGUCAAAAAAGACUUUUUCUUUAGGGACCAUGGGGCUCAAAGCCGUCGAGUCGCAUAAGAAAGGAGGAAAGCACCAGCAGUACAUGGCAGCAACGAGCCAUAGCGGGGACAGGCUAAUUCCUGUAUUGUUUGCAGCACGACCUAACGUUACAAGUAGACUUGCACUGAUUAAUUGGCAGUGCUCGGAAUCGGGCUGGUUUUCACGUGAUCGGCCAUGACCUGCGACCAGCCAGUCAGUCUAAACUAUACCGAUUUAAAACGCCGGUCAAAUUCCCGACGCGCCACAUGAUUGACAUCAUGUAAUAUCAGCAGCGCACACACACGCACAUGUGCAACUCACGGCUUGGGCGAUGUGAGGAAGGGGACCUCAGGGACACACUGGUUUGGGUAGGACAACUAUGGAGUAAAUGAUUCCGGCCAGAGAAUCAGGUUCGAGAGGAUACUUUAAUUUUCAAUGACAACAACAAACUGAAAAACACACAAAGUUGACAUGCUAACCAAAUUAAACUCACUCUACUGUAAGUGAAACACGGGCGGCUUCUCACCUUAAUCAUUGACGCACACACAUCAAAAGAGAGAAGGAGAAAGUUGUUAAUUGUCCGUGUUAAACUUAACUGUGGAGCUCUCACUGCUAAACUGUGCCGCUUGAAACUGACGAGGCGCGUGUCCACGUGCGGAAGAUGUGCGUGUCUGCGCGCUUACUGGCAGGCACGUCCUGAAGGCCUGUGUGAAUUUUCCACAGGCGAUAUUUUUACUUUUUGUCUAUUCAAGAAAUUACCUACAAAUGCUAUACACCAAGAAUUGUUUUAUUUAUCUAUGUUUUUAUUUAUGUAUGCCUUUUUUACUUAUUUAUUUUAAUACUGUACCUGAAGUUAUAUUUGAGCAAAAAGGAAAAUGUUUCUUAACCUGUGUCACUGUUUUUGUUUGUUUGUUUGAGAUGAUUAUUGAAAAGCUGGUUGAAUCUUGGUUAAAAUGUUCUAAUAAAGGAAAGAUAGAAAAUAUUGCAAUAUCUUGUGUGCUGUAAAGUGGUUUGAAAAAAAAUUUAAUCGGAAUCGGCCAUCCAAACACUCUGCAAAUCGGAAAUCGGUAUUGGCCCAAAAAAUUGUUAUCGGUGCAAGUCUAGUUACAAGUUCAGACUCCAUCACCACCUCCCAUUCGGCUAUGAGAAGCUUCAUUUCACUGCCAAAGACCCAAAAGGCAGAGGUACUGUGGGUUCUCCACACUGUGAUGAGGCACAAUUCAUUUAAAUCUAACAAGGACAUAAGUGGCGUCUUUGCUGCCAUGUUCUCCGUUUCGCAGGUUGCAAAGGCAUUCACCUGUGGUGAAAAUAAAACGGCAUAUGUCGCCAAAUAUGGCAUCACUUCAUUCAUCAAGAAGGAGCUUUCCUGCAGCGUUAGUGAGAAGCCAUAUGUUAUCAUGUUUGAUGAAAGCAUGAAUAAAUCGAGAAAGAGCAAACAAAUGGACCUUCAUUUGCGGUUUUGGAAUACUGAUGAUGAGACCGGCACACACCAUGUCAUCUCCCGCUACUAUGGGUCGGAGUUCAGGGGUCACUCAAGAGCCAAGGACAUGUUGGGACAUUUCAGUGAAGGUACAAAGGAGCUGAAUUUGAACAACAUGCUCUCACUGUCAAUGGAUGGGCCCAGUGUUAAUUGGAAGUUUGUUGAACUCUUACAAGAGGAACACAGAGAGCAGUUUGGUGGAGCCCAACUACAAAUAAUUGGAAGUUGUGGCCUUCACACAAUGCACAACUUGUUCAAGAAUGGCUUCGGGUGUGGCAAGUUGAGAAAGUCCUGAAAGCCCUGCACUACCUGUUUCAUUGUGCACCUGCAAGGAGGGAAGCCUUUGUGUUAGUGACCAAGUGUGAUACAUUUUCUCUGACAUUUUGUGGACAUCGUUGGCUGGAAAACCUUCCAGCAGUGGAGAGAGCCAUUGAAAUUUGGCCAUAUAUCGUCACCUAUGUGGAUCAGGUCAAAGCCAAGAAGCUCCCCAAUCCAAGGUCAUCGUCAUAUGACAACAUCGCAGAAGCUCAGAUGGAUCCCAUUAUCCUGGCAAAGUUGCACUUCUUCAUGAGUCUCUCAAGAAGUUUUCAACCUUUUCUCACCAAGUACCAGACAGAUGCCCCGAUGAUUCCCUUACCCAGCAGAGAUUUGGAGGAUCUAAUCAGGAGCCUUCUCAGACGCUUCAUAAAGCAAGACGUCCAGGUUGAUGUUUCCCCAGUAAAGCUGGUCAAGCUUGAUGUGACAGACCAAAGGCUUUGGGUCAGUCCAAAGCAAGUGGACAUUGGCAUGGGAGCCACAGCUGCCCUCAAGGGAAUGUCAGGCAGUCAGAGUGGUGGAAGUGAGCAUGAUGUGUUACUGUUCAUCCGAGACAGCCAGAGUGCUCUGUCACAAAUUUGUCACAGCAUUCUAUUAAAGUGCCCACUGAAGUACCCCACUGGCUGAAAUAUGAUGUGCCUGGACCCCCAAAAGAUGCGCACUGAACCAGACACGUGCCUGCAAAAAAAUGAAGGCCCUAAUCAUGAAAUUUGUGCAGGAUAAGAAGUUGUCAGGAGGAGUCACAGCAGGUGAUGAGAUUGCACAACAAUUUCAGAAGUUCCUCUUCAGUGAGGCCAGAGGAGAGGAAUUCAUGGCCUUCAGUGCGUUGGACGGAAAAUCACGAGUUGACAGCUUCCUGCAUAAGGCCAUGAAUGGAUAUGCAGAACUUUGGAGCUUUGUGGAAAAGCUGCUGCUUCUGUCCCAUGGACAAGCUACUGUGGAGCGUGGAUUCUCCAUAAACAAGGAGGUGGAGAUGUGCAAUAUGAACAAGGACACUAUAGUCUCACAGAGACUAAUCUGUGACUACGUGAGCAUGUGUGGUGGAGUGCUCAAAGUGCCACUAACUAAAGAGCUGCUAAAUGAGUGUACAACUGCACGCAAUCGGUACAGGAUCGACUUGGAAGAUGAGAGGAAGAAAAAGGAAAAGACAAAACAGAUGGACAAGAGAAAAAGGGCUGAAGAUGAGCUUGAAGAGCUAUGCAAGAAAAAAAGAACAAUCUCAAGUGUGUGCGAAACUCUAGAGAAGGAUGCAGAUAGCCUUGGCAGAGAAGGCUGAGAAUACAGCAGGGACCAAGAUGGCAGAACUCAUCACUAAAUCCAACUCGAUGAGAAAAAGAUGCAAGGACAAGAGAGGGGAGUUGGUGGACCUAGACCGUGAAAUUGAGAAGAGAGCGACAGAGCUACAUGUCUUGAGGAGAAUUUGGGA